UCAAUGUCUCUUGUUACCCACAGCAGCAACAUUAUUACUAUGAAAUGGUCAUGAGCAGUGCUGCUAGGUAGCCACGAGUGUGAACACGGAGGUUGUGUUUAUCAUUGUCAAGGCUCAGCAGGUGGUGGUGGUGGUGGUGAAUCGGAAACGCAAGCUGAUGCACAGAGCCAGCAGCCGCACUGCUGUACAACACCAACCCAGCGCUGGGUGGAAGGCGGGAGAAGCCAUAUACAGCCUUUACCAUCCACCAGGGAGUGUCAAUGACUCUUGUACUUCCCAUACAGCAACAUUAUUUAUCAAUGGCAGUGAGCCUUGGCUGUGUAGCCCACACGUGGACAUACGGAGGUCGUGUUUAUCGUUGUCAAGGCUGAGCGGGCGAUGGUGGCGAUGGGCGGAAUGGGAGAAACGCAACCCCCUACUGCUGUUACAACCCAGUCCUGGACAGGAGAGGCCAGAGACGACCAACAGCGUCCAUCAGGGAGUGUCAAUGUCUCUCGCUACCCACAGCAGCAGCAUUCUUUAUUAUCAAUGGCAAUGAGCCGUGCUCUGUAGCCACGCGUGAGCAUCACGGAGGUUGUGUUUUAUUAUUGUCAAGGCUGAGCGGGUGGUGGUGGUGGUGAUGGGGGAAUCGGACACGCUGGCAUCCGUUCCUGCCACCCCCAACUUUGAGAAAGAUGGCUGGGCGAGUUCUCAACCCAGGUAACCGUGCGAGUCUCCGGCCCGAUCCUCGGCCUUGCUCAGCAAACGAGCGAUGUGGAUGUCUAUUUGAGGUUCGUUGACGUUUUGGUUUAUGUAAUUGGCCACGCGGGGAAAUGUCGGCAGGACUUUGAUAGUUUUAAUCGAGGCAAAACUUGAAACCUAAUUAGCAAAUAACCACAGCAUGAAGUUUACAUCAUGUGACCUGAA